AUUCUUCACGUUUUCUAAAUUUUGAUACAUAAUCUGGAUGGCACACGUCAUAACGCCUUAAGCUCUCUGCUGCCACAAAGCUGUAUGGCUUCAUGUAAGAGUAGCACACCCAGGUGAGAAUCUUCUGCCUAAAUGCUUCAGGAGAAGGGGUUAAGCAACUGUACUUUUUAUUCAAGUACACACGUUCAGUACUCUGCCCACCUAGUACACUAGGUGAGAAUCUUCUGCCUAAAUGCUUCAGGAGAAGGGGUUAAGCAACUGUACUUUUUAUUCUAGUACACACGUUCUUUACGUCUCUGCCCACCUCUGGCCCUGGACUGAGAGAGCUGGGCUGUGUAGGAGGAGGAGGAGGAGGGAUGGGAGGCACGUUCUCCGGAUGUAGUACAGGAAGAAUCUGUACGCCCCAGCACACCGCCGCGUGCUGUUCUCAGAGAGGGACACCGUGUUCUCCAGAACCGCUCGGGGACUCCCGGCAGAUGAAGAGGGUGACACCGCGCUGUCAAUCACCCUGGCGGAGAGGACUUCCUUUUCAUUUUCUUCUAAUUGCAGCCCCUGUCAAGCUUCAGGUGAGGUUUUUGACACCCAGCUCAAGAUGCCUUGUAAGGCGAGCUGAGGUGCAAGGCUGAGACCGGUGUAUCAGGAGGGAAGGAGGGAGAGACAGAGCUGUGUGUCAUCUGUGUGGAGAGGCCAUGGAAGGAGAUGAGCCAAAAGAGUUGGUAUAGAGGGCAAAAAGCGGAGGACCAAUGGUCAAACUCUGGGAAACACUGGCUUGGAGGUACGAGGUCUUCAAAUUUGAGUUGCUGCUAAGAUUAAAUCUCACUAAAGUGGUUUGUGAAAGAUGUUAGUUCAUAUGCAGAUAUUGAUCUUGUGAAACAUAUUUGCAAAGCAGAUGCAGUAAAUGAUUCAAUGAAUGCGAGUAUAAGAAAAUAAUGUAUUUGUGCAAUGUUUUUAUGAAUAAGUGUAGAUGGCCAGUUACAUAGACAAAACAGGAAACCAAUGGUUGGUUUUUGAAAUUGCUUCAAAAAGGAAUCCAUUUUUCCUUGUCUGCAUCUUGAUUCACUGCAGCAGUAAUUGUGAUGUCAGAACACAACAAAAUGUUCAGUGUGAAAUCAGCUCUGACAGUGUUCAUACCUUAUGUUCUGUAAUGGAGUUAUAUGUACUCUAUCUGCGUAUUCACUGAAGCCUGCAUUGUCUUAGGCCUGGCUAACCACAACUUUGCCCCUCAAAGCCUCCUGUAGGUGUGUGUGUGUGUGUGUGUGUGUGUGUGUGUGUGCCUGUGUGUGUGUGCUGUAGUGUGUGUGUGUAUAAUGUGUGUGUGUGUCUGUGUGUAUUAUGUGUGUGUGUGUGUGUGCAGUAGUCUGUGUGCGUGUGUACAAUGUGUGUGUGUGCGGUAGUGUGUGUGUGUGUGUGUAUAAUGUGUGUGUCUGUGUGUAUAUGUGUGUGUGUGUCUGUGUGUGCUGUUGUGUGUGUGUGUGUGUGUAUGUGUGUGUGUGUAUAAUGUGUCUUUCUGUGUGUAUAUGUGUGUGUGUGUCUGUGUGUGCUGUUGUGUGUGUGUGUGUGUGUGUGUAUAUAAUGUGUGUGUGUGUGUAUGUCUGUGUGUAUAAUGUGUGUGUUCUGUGUCACUGUUGUAUUUCACCAGUACAUUUUGUUCCAGCCUGUCUUGGCCUCCUGCCAGCUGCAUGGCUGCUUCGUCACCAGCAGCUUCUCUCAGUCGGAGGCAAAACUGUUACAGUGCGAGAGGGAGGGAGGCUCUUUCUCCCCCCACCAGGGCUCCUGUUCCCCCUCCCCACUGGGACUCCUGUCCCCCCACCCCACUGGGGCCCCUGUCCCCCCACCACACUGUGGCUCCUGUUCCCCCUACCCACUGGGGUUCCUGUUCCCCCACCCCACUGGGGCCCCUGUCCCCCCACCCCACUGUGGCUCCUGUUCCCCCUACCCACUGGGGUUCCUGUUCCCCUACCCCACUGGGGCCCCUGUCCCCCCACCCCACUGGGGCUCCUGUUCCCCCUACCCAUUGGGGUUCCUGUUCCCCCACCCCACUGGGGCUCCUGUUCCCCCCACCCCACUGGUGUUCCUGCUCCCCCAACCCACUGGGGCUCCUGUUCCCCCCACCCCACUGGGGCUCAUGCUUACGCUAAUGACAUGCAGAAGGUAUUCAGGGCAACACAACAAAAUGACCGGCUUACAUGAUUAUCUGUGUUGACAAUAAUUUAUUUGGUUGUUCUUCAUUAAAAGAGAUGCCCUUUCUCUUUAAAUUAUUUUCAGGGCAUGUACAUAAAACCUCAUGUGUCAGAGAAAUGUAUUCACUGCAUAUUUUUACUAAUUCUGAUCAAAUAAAAAUAUUAUGCCAGU